AAGCCUGACCCGCCGAAUCCCCGAAACGCGGGGAGCCGGGGACCCACUCUCGACCACGUCCCCCCGGGGUGAAUCCGAAGUGCCUUCAACGCACCAGGUAGGGCUGCCUCCGGCCCGAACCCGUCAGCUAACCCGGUAGGCGACCGAGGAGAGGAGCC
rnacentral:sRNA from 1 species